rnacentral:rRNA from 1 species
GAUCAUGGCUCAGAACGAACGCUGGCGGCAGGCUUAACACAUGCAAGUCGAACGCGUGUAGCAAUACACGAGUGGCGCACGGGUGAGUAACGCGUGGAUAUCUGCCUUUUGGUUCGGAAUAACCCCGGGAAACUGGGGCUAAUACCGGAUGGUUCCUACGGGAUAAAGAUUUAUCGCCAAAAGAUGAGUCCGCGUACGAUUAGCUAGUUGGUGAGGUAAUUGCUCACCAAGGCGACGAUCGUUAG